GAUGAACGCUGGCGGCGUGCUUAACACAUGCAAGUCGAACGGAGUGAGUAAAACGGAAGUUUUCGGAUGGAAGUUUUACUUACUUAGUGGCGGACGGGUGAGUAACGCGUGGGUAACCUGCCGUAUACAGGGGGAUAACACUUAGAAAUAGGUGCUAAUACCGCAUAAGCGCACAGCUUUGCAUGAAGCAGUGUGAAAAGCCGAGACGGUAUACGAUGGACCCGCGUCUGAUUAGCUAGUUGGUGGGGUAGAGGCCUACCAAGGCGACGAUCAGUAGCCGGCCUGAGAGGGUGACCGGCCACAUUGGGACUGAGACACGGCCCAAACUCCUACGGGAGGCAGCAGUGGGGAAUAUUGCACAAUGGGGGAAACCCUGAUGCAGCGACGCCGCGUGAGUGAAGAAGUAUUUCGGUAUGUAAAGCUCUAUCAGCAGGGAAGAACAUGACGGUACCUGACUAAGAAGCCCCGGCUAACUACGUG
rnacentral:rRNA from 1 species